UCAAUAUCUAGUUGGUCAGUCAA
rnacentral:siRNA from 1 species